rnacentral:rRNA from 1 species
UACGAAGGGGGGCUAGCGUUGCUCGGAAUCACUGGGCGUAAAGGGUGCGUAGGCGGGUCUUUAAGUCAGAUGUGAAAGUCCUGGGCUUAACCUGGGGGACUGCAUUUGAUACUGGGUUGCUUGAAUUCGGGAGAGGAUAGCGGAAUUCCCAGUGUAGAGGUGAAAUUCGUAGAUAUUGGGAAGAACACCGGUGGCGAAGGCGGCUAUCUGGACCGACAUUGACGCUGAGGCGCGAAAAGCGUGGGGAGCAAACAGG